rnacentral:rRNA from 1 species
AUUGAACGCUGGCGGCAGGCCUAACACAUGCAAGUCGAACGAGUGGCGGACGGGUGAGUAAUGUCUGGGAAACUGCCUGAUGGAGGGGGAUAACUACUGGAAACGGUAGCUAAUACCGCAUACCAUCGGAUGUGCCCAGAUGGGAUUAGCUUGUGGGUGGGGUAACGGCUCACCAAGGCGACGAUCCCUAGCUGGUCUGAGAGGAUGAACAGCCACACGGGAACUGAGACACGGUCCAGACUCCUACGGGAGGUAGAAGUGGGGAAUAGUGCACAAUGGGCGCAAGCCUGAUGCAGCGAUGCCGGGGGUAUGAAGAAGGCCUUCGGGUUGUAAAGUACUGUCAGCGGGGAGGCGUUACCCGCAGAAGAAGCACCGGCUAACUCCGUGCCAGACGCCGCGGUAAUAC